rnacentral:rRNA from 1 species
UACAGAGGGUGCGAGCGUUGUCCGGAAUUACUGGGCGUAAAGGGCUCGUAGGCGGCCAACUAAGUCAGACGUGAAAUCCCUAGGCUCAACCUAGGAACUGCGUCUGAUACUGGAUGGCUUGAAUCCGGGAGAGGGAUGCAGAAUUCCAGGUGUAGCGGUGAAAUGCGUAGAUAUCUGGAGGAAUACCGGUGGCGAAGGCGGCAUCCUGGACCGGCAUUGACGCUGAGGAGCGAAAGCUAGGGGAGCAAACGGG